GGGUCAGUAGGUUGGUCAUGCCACUGGUAUGUACUGGUCUCACUGAUUCCUCCUUCCUGAUGAGCUGUAAUGCCAUUAAUUUGGUGUUAUGGGGAGUUAGGACUGUUACUUUGAAAAAAUUAGAGUGUUUAAAGCAGGCUUUAGCUUGAAUACAUUAGCAUGGAAUAAUGAAAUAGGACGUUCGAACCUAUUUUGUUGGUUUCUAGGAUCAACGUA
rnacentral:rRNA from 1 species